GGGUUUGAAGUGAAUGGAUCAUUUCUCUGCUGCACGCACCACUUUCAGGACUGAGAGAAUAAACCCACCACGUAGGAUGUUUCUGUUUCUGCUCUUUAUUCUCGCCUUCCACUACGCGACCUCGGUGACGAUCCACCAGACGCCGGCUUUCUCGGGAACUGCCGGCCAGAAGGUGACCCUGCGUUGCACAGUAGAGGGUAGAACCAGUGUUGAUAACGUGUUGUUCUGGUACCGACAAUCCCCGGGAAAGGGUCCGGAGAACAUGUUUUACUCGAACACAGCUCCGUACGUCCUACCAGAGGGAAUGGUCGACGGUUUCACGGCGGAGAGACCAAAGAGCAACGAGUUCCUCCUGAAGUCCGACAAACUGGAGGCGAAUCCGUCUGCCGUGUAUUUCUGCGCCUGGAGUAUUCACGGCGGCUCAGAGUGA